AAAAAAGAAUACCUUUGGUCAGUAUACAAUAGCUACUAGAAUUUUGAUUGGAUUGUACGUAGGAAUUUCAUGUAUUUCAAAAGAGAGAUUACUUAGUGAUGGUAGUAGAUAGAAACCCCGGAAGUUAUAAUCAGAAGUAAAAAAGUAUUCCAACUCCCACACCAACCAGAGCUGGACAGGGAGGUCAUCAGAAGGAGGCAGAUCUCCAUAAGAUGGAAAGAGUAGGAAAGGAAAAGAGUUAAAAUAAAAGAAGUCAGGAGACUAGACUGGAAAUCUGAAUUGAUGGAGACCUGACUUAAUCAAAUGACACUUCGCAACUUGCACCAAAGGCUGCAGACUGGUACCAAUGAAAUGGCAUUUCUCUUCUUCCUAAUGGAGGCUAAUUUAAAUGUUCCCAUCUGUUAAAGAUAAGAAACCCAGGACCCUGAGAUAGCAAGCAUUUUGCCCACAAUCAUACAGGUAAUAAAUGAUAAAGCUGAGAUUUAUAUCCACACUCUCUCAUCCAUGCCCAUCAUUAUUUCCUUGGCACUAUAGAAAAGGAAUUUCUUAGCCAGACAAAAGUUAGAUAGAGGACUUACAUUUUGUAUUGCACGAAAUAGACUGUAUUACUGGGG